CUAGAGCCUUUGACAGAUGUCAAGGGCCAGACAUACUGAUCUCCAGUGCUCUCCGAAAAGUUGGAGCCCUCCUCUUGGACGAUGUUCCUGAUGGCCACCCUAAAGUGAGCACUGCUCCCAGCUAGGAGCAGGCAAGUCCAGCUGCUGCCUGGAGGAAGCCAACCCCACUCCUGGAGGCGCAGCACCUACACACACCUCACCUUCGAGCAGCUGAAUUCUUGAGGCAGGAGACAGGAUCUCUGUGUUGAAGGAGGAGAGCUGAGGAGUGAGAAGAACAGCAUUGAGACAGAGAGAACAUGUCUGAUGUUCUGCAGAGGAGGAAGCAAGAGUCUACUGUCCCAGGACCCAGGGAAGAAGCCUGAACAUGGGGGAAACUCAAGACCUUCCCUUCCCUGUCCUGCUGCUUGUCACUCUGAAUCUCCUGCUGUCCUCCUUGUGGUGUGGCUUGGGCUGUCCACUCACACUCAGUCCAGGCUUUUCUUCCUCUGCUAUUCCUUCCAAGUGCAUUCGGGAGACUCUGAAGGAGGAAUCCUUUCUACAAAGGUUUGCCUGAAUUCAGCCUAUCUUACAGUGAGAGUAAAGACGAAAAGGGGCACAUAUCUGCCCAUCCCAAGCCUGGUGCCAAAUACAGUCA